rnacentral:rRNA from 1 species
AUGGGCCUAUACUCACGAUUAGCUAGUUGGUAAGGUAAUGGCUUACCAAGGCGACGAUCUGUAGCUGGUUUGAGAGAAUGAUCAGCCACACUGGGACUGAGACACGGCCCAG